UUCGAAACUGGCAGGCUAGAGUCUUGUAGAGGGGGGUAGAAUUCCAGGUGUAGCGGUGAAAUGCGUAGAGAUAUGGAGGAAUACCGGUGGCGAAGGCGGCCUCCUGGACAAAGACUGACGCUCAGGUGCGAAAGCGUGGCGAGCAAACAGGAUUAGAUACCCUGGUAGUCCACGCUGUAAACGAUGUCGAUUUGGAGGUUGUGCCCAUGAGGCGUGGCUUCCGGAGCUAACGCGUUAAAUCGACCGCCUGGGGAGUACGGCCGCAAGGUUAAAACUCAAAUGAAUUGACGGGGGCCCGCACAAGCGGUGGAGCAUGUGGUUUAAUUCGAUGCAACGCGAAGAACCUUACCUGGUCUUGACAUCCACAGAACUUUCCAGAGAUGGAUUGGUGCCUUCGGGAACUGUGAGACAGGUGCUGCAUGGCUGUCGUCAGCUCGUGUUGUGAAAUGUUGGGUUAAGUCCCGCAACGAGCGCAACCCUUAUCCUUUGUUGCCAGCGGUUCGGCCGGGAACUCAAAGGAGACUGCCAGUGAUAAACUGGAGGAAGGUGGGGAUGACGUCAAGUCAUCAUGGCCCUUACGACCAGGGCUACACACGUGCUACAAUGGCAUAUACAAAGAGAAGCGACCUCGCGAGAGCAAGCGGACCUCAUAAAGUAUGUCGUAGUCCGGAUUGGAGUCUGCAACUCGACUCCAUGAAGUCGGAAUCGCUAGUAAUCGUAGAUCAGAAUGCUACGGUGAAUACGUUCCCGGGCCUUGUACACACCGCCCGUCACACCAUGGGAGUGGGUUGCAAAAGAAG
rnacentral:rRNA from 1 species